GGGCCUGUAGCUUAGUCGGAAGAGCACCGCAUUCGCAUUGCGGAGACGGGAGUCCGAUUCUCCCCAGGUCCA
rnacentral:tRNA from 4 species